rnacentral:rRNA from 1 species
GACGUAGGGCGCGAGCGUUGUCCGGAUUUAUUGGGCGUAAAGAGCUCGUAGGCGGCUUGUCGCGUCGUCCGUGAAAACCCACAGCUCAACUGUGGGCUUGCGGUCGAUACGGGCAGGCUAGAGUUCGGUAGGGGAGACUGGAAUUCCUGGUGUAGCGGUGAAAUGCGCAGAUAUCAGGAGGAACACCGGUGGCGAAGGCGGGUCUCUGGGCCUUACCUGACGCUCAGGUGCGAAAUCUAGGGGAGCGAACAGG